GGAUAGAGCCCCAGAGGCAAAAAGCCUGUGAGAGUGGGCUAUUAAAGACCCACGCUCUUGUCUAUGCUAACAUUCUUCAGUGGUGGCAAGUGCCCUGGGCAAAGUUCUGACCUUGGAACCCUAUUUUUCCAGGCUUUCCGAAGGUACGCAACCUCUGAAGCAACAGAGAAGAGUUUCUACAAACGGUAUCCUCAGGACAGACAAGAUUAUAUUGCAGAAAUUGGAUUCUUAAAUUUAGAGACACCAUGUGACUUCAAAAGGGCUUGAGUAUAAUUUCCCAGAUUCUUCCAAUGCAAGGCAGCGUGAACACCACAGAACUUCCAGAAGAGUUUUUCAUACUACUAAGGAAAGUACUGAUCUCACUACAUUAAAGUCAGUUGUUUUGUCUUUUUUUUUUUAAAUCAAGAUUUGAGUUUUUUUAAGGGCUAGCUUCAAUUUAAAAGAUAAUAUUAUAUACAUUUUUUUUUCAUGAUAAUAUAUAUCUGGCUAAUAGCAGAAAGUAAACAGAUUUCUGGGGCACCUGGGUGGCUCAGUUGAGCAGACAACUUUUGGUUUUGACUCAGGUCAGGGUUGUGAAAUGGAGCACUGCAUCAAGAUCUGCAUCCAGUGUGGAAUCUGCUUAAGAUCCUCUCUUUCUCUACCUUUGCCCCUCCCCCUGCUUGCACACUCUUUCUAAAAUAAAUAAAUCUUUGGAAAAAAAGUAAACAAAUUUCUGUUGAAGUAAGGAGGAAAAUAUCUCACCUAGUAAUCUUGUAAGUGCAUGGCAUCCUCAAAAAGACUAUACAAAGCACAUAUAUAAAUGAGCAAUUUGAACUCACACAACUAGAAUAACAAUCCUUCUCAGACAUGAGUAGUCAGAGGGCUUAAGCUUAAAGUUUCAACUCUGCCACUUUCUUUUUGAUCUAAGACUAAUUAAACCCAAGCCUAAAAUGUAUUAUCUAUAGAACUAAUGAG
rnacentral:lncRNA from 1 species